GCUCUCACCAGCACAUUGUCCUUUACUGUCCUCCUGAGGGUGUCUGGAGCUUCGGUGCUGUGUGCUCUUGGCGUCCAUGCUGGGGCACCACCGACUCCUGCUGUCCAGGGCUUCCAGUGGACUCUCCGAGGCACUGAUGUGGAAUCUUCCCCAUUCGGUGCACCAAGAGCAGCCUCACGUGGUAUGGGCUGACAUGAAGAGCUGCCAGAUCCAACAGAGAUGGGGUUGGUAACA